rnacentral:lncRNA from 1 species
UCUCGUCGUUGGCCUUUCUUCUUCCGAUCCCCCUCCAAAAAAAGUGACACACCCCCUCUACCUUCUCUGCCUCCAAGAGCGUCCAGCCCCCCACUCUUUUCAGCAGAGAAUCCCCUUCCGCUAGACCACGCUCUCUCUGGUUUCUUUUCUUCAAUGUCCGAACGCUCGACCUCUUGCCUCCAGAAUUAGCGCCCUGCCCCUCCUUUCUUUUCCCUUCCUUCUGGUUCGAGCUCAGGCAGUUUCCUCCCACAAACCAAAACCAGCCGAAGCUCCCCCCUUGGUUCUCUCACUUUCCGGCUCUCCGCAACUUGCCUCUUCAACGGCCGCCCUCUCCGAAAACCGACAGGCGUCUCUCCUUCUUUCGUUAUGCGAACGGGAGCCUCUUCAGGCGAGCAUCCCUUCCGGCCGAAGACGUUCCUCGGCGAGCAACUCCUUUCUCGGAUUCUCUCUCUGCGAUCUGAUCUUUGCC